UACGUAGGGGGCAAGCGUUGUCCGGAUUUAUUGGGCGUAAAGAGCGUGUAGGCGGCCAAACAGGUCAGCUGUGAAAACUCGAGGCUCAACCUCGAGACGUCGGUUGAAACCGUUUGGCUAGAGUCCGGAAGAGGAGAGUGGAAUUCCCGGUGUAGCGGUGAAAUGCGCAGAUAUCGGGAAGAACACCCGUGGCGAAGGCGGCUCUCUGGGACGGUACUGACGCUGAGACGCGAAAGCGUGGGGAGCAAACAGG
rnacentral:rRNA from 1 species